AACGAACGCUGGCGGCGUGCCUAAUACAUGCAAGUCGAACGAGAGGAUGGGGUAACCCAUUAGUAAAGUGGCAGACGGGUGAGUAAUACAUAAGUAACUUACCUUUUAGUUGGGGAUAACCUUCCGAAAGGAGGGCUAAUACCGAAUAAGACCACAAGAACUACGGUUCUAGGGGUUAAAGGUGGCUUCGGCUAUCGCUAAAAGAUGGGCUUAUGCACCAUCAGGUAGUUGGUAAGGUAACGGCUUACCAAGCCUAUGACGGUUAACUGAUCUGAGAGGUUGAUCAGUCACACUGGAACUGAGACACGGUCCAGACUCCUACGGGAGGCAGCAGUAGGGAAUAUUGCGCAAUGGAGGAAACUCUGACGCAGCGACGCCGCGUGGGUGAUGAAGGCUUUCGGGUCGUAAAGCCCUGUCGGAGGAGAAGAAAACGGUAAUGGCUAUAUCCAUACCGCUUGACGGUAUCCUUAAAGGAAGCACCGGCUAACU
rnacentral:rRNA from 1 species